GACGAACGCUGGCGGCGUGCUUAACACAUGCAAGUCGAACGGAAAGGCCCUGCUUUUGUGGUGUGCUCGAGUGGCGAACGGGUGAGUAACACGUGAGUAACCUGCCCUUGACUUUGGGAUAACUUCAGGAAACUGGGGAUAAUAUCGGACAGGAGCUCCGGCUGCAUGGUGGGGGUUGGAAAGUUUCGGCGGUUGGGGAUGGACUCGCGGCUCAUCAGCUUGUUGGUGGGGUAGUGGCUUACCAAGGCAUUGACGGGUAGCCGGCCUGAGAGGGUGACCGGCCACAUUGGGACUGAGAUACGGCCCAGACUCCUACGGGGGGCAGCAGUGGGGAAUAUUGCACAAUGGGCGGAAGCCUGAUGCAGCAACGCCGCGUGCGGGAUGACGGCCUUCGGGGUGUAAACCGCUUUCGCCUGUGACGAAGCGUGAGUGACGGUAAUGGGUAAAGAAGCACCGGCUAACUACGUG
rnacentral:rRNA from 1 species